CCACGCUUAUGUCUUUAAAACCUUCGUUUUCGAGAAUACGUAUAUGACUGCCAUUUUCAGCGGUGCUCCAUAGUAAAGUUCUCCCGAUGUUACGUUAAUCUCUGUUGCAAGUUGUCCAAGGCUAAAGCUUCCAACAGUUAGAACAAUAUUGUUACCAAAAUGUUCCUCAAAUUUCUGGCGGAUCAAAGCAGUCAACUUUUCGUCACCACACACCCUCAUCACAUUUACUUCCACUACCGUUACUUCCAAGUGUCCUGCCCUGACAACGAUCCUGUCCUGUCCUGAAAUUUU